rnacentral:misc_RNA from 1 species
AACACAACACUAUUGUUAUUAUUAUGCCGACUGUUGAAUAUACUGACGUGCUUUGCUAUAAGUAGCUGUGACGUUCGAGGACUGACAAGUCCCUAAAAAUAAUCACCGGAAAAGCAAGCGUUUGUUGUUGUUGUUUUUUCAGAUUAAUCAAUUGAUUUGAUUGUUUAUUUAAUCAAAAAGUUGUUGUACAAUAAAAAGUCAACAGAGGUUUAUGUUCUUUUCAAGAAAUGAGAGACGUUUGGCCUUACCGAGAAAACUCGAAAUGAUUAGCAGACGAAAUCUCAUUGAAUUUUUUUCUUGUACAUUCUUUAUCAAGCGUCAUGUAAAAAAGCGUUUUUGUGAUUCUCAUGUAGAAUUUCUUUGAAAAAUGUUCAAUCAAUUUGUUCAAAAGUUUACAAGAAACUUUAACUUUAAAAUUACCGUCAAUAAUGAAGUGUUUUUGGAAAAAUGAAUAAUUUUAAUUGUUUGAUGUCAGUCGUAUAUAUCUACGUUUUAUAUAUAUAUAAAUACCGCACAUUAAAAUAACUGCUGCUUUAGCGUAGCGGUAACGUGUUGGGCUUCACGCUGGAAUGGUUUUAGCGUCGUGAGUUCGAAUCCCGCUGUCGGCGCUUGAUAGAUUUUCGUUGAAAACAUUUGCCGUGCUCUAUUUCGGCAUAGUAUGCUUACGCUAUAUAAAUCCUUUGAUACUAUGCGAAAAUAGAUGAGUACUGAAUAUAUAGUGACAAACAGACAGAAGGCAUAAUAAUAUAUAAUAGAGUCAUGCAUAUAAAAUAUACGUCCAUUUAGUUCAUGUCAACAAUAUCAUUGUUUUGUUUAUCAUGUUUAUACAUCAUAAUAACAAACUGUUUUAGUGUAGUCAUUGUAUUGUCAAUGAAUAAAAUGUUUAUACAUUUAAUGUCUAAACAAACUGUACAUUAUAAGAAUACAAUCAGAGAAACCUUGUUUGGUAUUUGUCAAACAAAUCAAAACAUUUUAAUGUUGAUAAAUAUCUGUAAAAAUCUUUUUUAGCUCUCCUUUAUCAUGUUUAUAUUAAGUUAUGAGUUAUUUUCAAUCAUUUUAAUAAGAAUAGAAAUAUAAAUCAUACAUUUUCUUUUCUCAGAAAAACUGAAGGUACCACAUUUGUUGAACAUUUGAAUGGUGUUUAUUUGAUCUUUGUUCAUUAAGAUUUCUGUCACUGAAGAUUGAGUAACUUUUGUUUCUUACACACUAGUAAUAAACCCUGCAGUUGUACAUUGUGUACCUUAAAUAAUGUGUUUUCAUGUCAAAUAAAUGACUUGUAAAC